rnacentral:rRNA from 1 species
GAUGAACGCUGGCGGCGUGCCUAAUACAUGCAAGUCGAGCGAACGGACGAGAAGCUUGCUUCUCUGAUGUUAGCGGCGGACGGGUGAGUAACACGUGGAUAACCUACCUAUAAGACUGGGAUAACUUCGGGAAACCGGAGCUAAUACCGGAUGAUAUUUUGAACCGCAUGGUUCAAAAGUGAAAGACGGUCUUGCUGUCACUUAUAGAUGGAUCCGCGCUGCAUUAGCUAGUUGGUAAGGUAACGGCUUACCAAGGCAACGAUGCAUAGCCGACCUGAGAGGGUGAUCGGCCACACUGGAACUGAGACACGGUCCCGACUCCUACGGGAGGCAGCAGUAGGGAAUCUUCCGCAAUGGGCGAAAGCCUGACGGAGCAACGCCGCGUGGGUGAUGAAGGUCUUCGGAUCGUAAAACUCUGUUAUUAGGGAAGAACAUAUGUGUAAGUAACUGUGCACAUCUUGACGGUACCUAAUCAGAAAGCCACGGCUAACUACGUG